CCAAUUAUGAACCAGGAAGUAAUUUUUUGUUUACUUAAAAUGCCAACCUUUGUAAAUAGGAAUUUAUUUUGAGUAAACAUUGAGUGAGAUAUAAAGCCAGUGAAUACAUCCAUGCCACUCAAUUUCAGCCACUCAGAAUGAUUGCAGAAUUGCAGAACUGAGUUUCACUCUCGCUUGACUGAUGCAGAUUCAGAAACCUAAUUGCUCAUGAUGGUUUCUGAGAACAAGAGGCACAUCAGUGCCUGUGCUCCACUGGCCAAAAGGUUCAAGCAAAGACCACCUAACGAACAUUUUCGUCAAGUUUCAUAGAAAUACAAUCAUCAAUUUUUGAGGAGAAGUUAUUUAAAAAAAAUUUUUACUUUAAUAGCUCUGGCUGCCAUGUUGUGCAGUGGACCGAAAUGAUUUGGGCAAUUUGAGUAAAGGAGCACCAAACAAACAUUUCUGUGAAGUUUUAUCGAAAAAAGGUCAUCGGUUUCGACGACAAGUCGUAUAAAGUUUUUUUUAUUUUUUAGCUCUGGCAGCCAUGGUGUGCAGUGGACUGGAACCAUUUAACAAAUUUUGGUUAAUAACCACCCAAGGAACAUUUCUGUCAAGUUUCAUCAAAAUCUGAUCAUCGGUUAACAUUUAAUCUGAAUAGAUUAUGAAGCAAAUAUCUAACCUGAACAAGAACUGACGAGAUAGAAUCGACUUGGUGUUUCACUUACACUUUUCGGCCAUUUAAGUUACUAAAAAUAGCUGUUUCAUAAACUUUCAGAAUGUCACUUAAACGAAAAUUAAUGUUCAGUCUAUAUAUACUUUCCUAUGUAUAAAUGUAAGGUUUUUAAAUUGAUCUUUUUGUGAGAACUUUAUGCUUAUAUGUUUACUCAUAAAUUAUUAUUGUUUAAAAAUUAUUUAAAGAUGCUAUACGUGAAAAAUUAAGACAUUAUUUUUUUUUCUAUUAAAGGAAGGUAAUUCAGUAGUAAAAUGUAAUCAAAGCUAUUAAAGCAUGGCAUUUCUUUUCUAACCAUGUUGAUAUUAUUACAGUCUAUUCAAGCAAGAUGCCUUUUGUUUUUACAUAGUACCCAUAGGUUCUGAAAAACAAGGAGCACUAUUCCCAACAGAAGGAUGUCACUCCCUAUCACUGCAUGAGCAUCAUAAUAAAGAAAUGUUUACUCAAACUGCAAGCUGCUCAAUUGAAAUAGGUAUUUACCUCAAGCAUACAGUUUUAUAAUGUGGCAAAAUAGUCGGACUACUAGAUUGUCAUUCGGACUAGUAAAAUAUGCCAUUAUGCUAGUCCAACUGGCUAGUAGGUUAAAAUGUUUUUCGUGAAGACUGCGGACGAGAAGUCCUUAAGGUUUUUCUAUUUUUAACUCUCGCAGCCAUGUUGUGCAGCGGACCGGAACCAUUUGGGCAAUUUUGGUUAAAGGGCAUCCCGAUGAACAUUUAUGUAAAGUUUCAUCAAAAUCUGAUAAUCGGUUUCUGAGAAGAUGUAGUUUAUUGUUUUUUUCUAUUCUUAGCUCUGGUGCCCAUGUUGUGCAGCAGACCAGAACUGUUUGGGCUAUUUUGGUUAAGGACUACCCAAGUAACAUUUCUGUCAAGUUUCAUUGCAAUACGAUCAUCGGUUUCUGAGGAGAAGUCGUUUAAAGGUUUUUCUAUUUUUACCUCUGGGGGCCAUCUUGUGCAGUGGACCGAAACCAUUGAAGCAAAUUUGAUAAAGGACCAUCCAAGGAACAUUUCUGUUAAGUUUCAUCAAACUCUGAUCAUCGGUUUCUGAGAAGAUGUUCUUUAAAGGUUUUUCUAUUUUUUUGCCCUGGCAGCCAUGUUGUGCAGCGGACUGGAACCAUUUGAGCAAUUUUGGUUAAGGACCACCCAAGGAACAAUUCUGUCAAGUUUCAUCAAAAUCUGCCUAUCAGUUUCAGAGGAGAUGUCGUUUAAAGAUUUUGCUAUUUUUAGCUGUGGCGGCCAUAUUGUGCAAUGGACCAGAACCAUUUGAGCAAUUUUAAUAAAGGACCACCCAAGGAACAUUACUGUCAAGUUUCAUCAAAAUCUGCCGAACCGUUUCAGAGGAGAUGUCGUUUAAAGAUUUUGCUAUUUUUAGCUCUGGCGGCCAUAUUGUGCAAUGGACCGGAACCAUUUGAGCAAUUUUGGUAAAGGACCACCAAAGGAACAUUCCUGUGAAGUUUCAUCAAAAUCUGCCUAUCCGUUUCAGAGGAGAUGUCGUUUAAAGAUUUUGCUAUUUUUAGCUGUGGCGGCCAUAUUGUGCAAUGGACCAGAACCAUUUGAGCAAUUUUAAUAAAGGACCACCCAAGGAACAUUACUGUCAAGUUUCAUCAAAAUCUGCCGAACCGUUUCAGAGGAGAUGUCGUUUAAAGAUUUUGCUAUUUUUAGCUCUGGCGGCCAUAUUGUGCAAUGGACCGAACCAUUUGAGCAAUUUUGGUAAAGGACCACCAAAGGAACAUUCCUGUGAAGUUUUGUCAAAAUCCGCUUAUCAGUUUCAGAGUAGAUGUCGUUUAAAGUAAAAGUUUACGCACGCACGCACGCACGCACGCACGCACGCACGCACGCACGCACGCACGCACUCACGACGGACAAUCUGUGACGACAUAAGCUCCAUGGCCUUCGGCCAAUGGAGCUAAAAAAUCAGCUUGGUGUAAUUUGACAGUAUAUUUCAGUAUUUGACAGUGGUUCUAUCAUGCAACAGUCAUACUAUGAAGUGUCUCACAGAUUUUCUCUUAAUUCCUGCAAUAUCCAAGAUUACAGUGUAGAGCAAAGAGGAUUAAUCUUUGCAAUUAGAAGUAACUGCACUUCCAAAUACAGCAUGAACAGUUCCUUCGUUUUUGAGUGAUUAAAGAGUGAAAAUGUUUCCAUAAUAAAUGUUGUCUUUUUACUGUGAAACUUCACAUGUUAUGAAUGGUUACAAAUACAUGUAUGGACAUUUUGAUUCCAAUUCUAUAUGCACAUUUUGAUUCAAAUAAUUAACCACAAGUAUUUUAAAUUUGGUUUGAAGCAGAAAUGUUGUCCUUUUGAUUGUUUCUAAACAAUAAGUGGUAUUAUUCGUGUUUAUAGUUACCAUGUCAAUUUAAAAAAAAAAUUUUUUAAACAGUUGCCAUGGUAACCAUAGUCUAGUGUUCUUAGGAAACUGUCAUUGUUGUCUACAAAUCUUAGUAUUUUCAAUGUGAUACUUUUUGAACAUGUCGGCUUCAGUCAAUAAAAUGUUCCUGUUAUUUUCUAUGCAUUUGGUCAUACUGGGUAUACAAUUGUAUUUAUUAUUUAACCUUGAAAAUUGCUGACAAUGUCAUACUUAUAUUAAAAUAUUCAGAAUUGCUAGAUGGGUAUAAGUUCACUUUUUUACAAUUGUCAGGCAAAUCAAUGCAAGAUAUAGUUACAUAAUUCUCUUUUUUAACAAAAAGCGAGGUUUCCUAGCAUUUUUUUGUAUUUUUAUUGAAAGGUUACCAUGGAAACUAAUUUUUCGUUUGCCUUUAAUCUUCCUAUUUAUAAUACUAUUAAUUGUAAAAGCGUAACAGUCCAUCAGUGAAUGGAAGAAUUUAAAUGUUCUUUGACUUUUACCUUAUUGCUAGCUCAUUCUUCAAAAUAUACGGCAUUUUUAAAAUUUCUUAAAAAUAAACAUUUUUUCUUCAUUUUUUGAACGUGAAUAUAAGUAUCUAUCAUGUGUUUCCAGUACGGAUAGAAAAAAAUCCAACCCAAAGGCACGCACGUAAGCCAGUAAAGAGGCUUGCCGAGUUACCGGUCACGCAGCGUGCCCGAGGGUCGGAAUUUUCGAUCAGCACCGGAAAAACAUGAUCGAUAUAAUUAUUUUCUUGCAUACCUAAAAUUAUGAAUUUGUGGAAAAAUUGACGUACAAAACGCACUUUUGUACAUUUUACCAAAAAGCGAGUGCGACGUUAUGUACUGACAUCAUAAAGCGCAGUAAUUUUAAAUCACUAUCGAGGUCAAAUAGUUCCUAUAAAAUUCACGCUUUUAAGAUUAUUUAUUUUCAAUUUCAAUUAAAAGUAUUGUAAUCUUAUAUUUUUGAUUCCGCUUUAUUGAAAUUGCAAAAUAUACUUUUCAUAAACCAUACAAUAAAAGAAAAAAGAAGAGGCGCGUUGUUGCGCGUGACUCAUCUUACAUGGGGGUGUAAGAUUAGU